UCGGGAAUUUUGGGCAAUGGGCGAAAGCCUGACCCAGCAACGCCGCGUGAAGGAUGAAGUAUUUCGGUAUGUAAACUUCGUAAGAAUAGGAAGAAUAAAUGACGGUACUAUUUGUAAGGUCCGGCUAACUACGUGCCAGCAGCCGCGGUAAUACGUAGGGACCAAGCGUUAUCCGGAAUUACUGGGCGUAAAGAGUUGUGUAGGCGGCUUGUUAAGCAAAGUGUGAAAUCGUGUGGCUCAACCAUAUACACAUAUUUUGAACUGGCAAGCUAGAGGGCGAGAGAGGUUAUUGGAAUUGCUAGUGUAGGAGUGAAAUCCGUAGAUAUUAGCAGGAACACCGAUGGCGUAGGCAGAUAACUGGCUCGCACCUGACGCUCAGACACGAAAGCGUGGGUAGCAAACGGGAUUAGAUACCCAUGUAGUCCCUGAGCGGGCUGGCAAGGCGCAU
rnacentral:rRNA from 1 species